rnacentral:lncRNA from 1 species
UUGAUACAUUUUAGUGCUUUCGAGAUGCAUGACAAACUUUGAGUUAUGAAUCUCUGUCAUGAUGUCUCUUUUUAGCUAAUUGUCGCUUGAAACAUACAUUCUGUCAUGAAAUCUAAGUAACCUAUCGGCAGAUACUCGAAAUUCUGAAUUUACUCCUUGUUCUGUAUCUUUCUUGAGGGCUACUACGGUGGAAUCGGCGGAUUAGACUUCUUUUAUUCUCUGGAUCAACUCAAGUUGAACAGUUAGGUGGGCCAAACAUGUAACUUUCUUCAGGUCCU